GUAUAAGGUUUAUAGGCACUUAGGCCCAAUGAUACAUUCUGUUACAUACUACGGGUAUAUGAAAAACAUAGGCUUGGAAGUGCAAAGAAAGCUGACGCAAAGCGACAGCAUUCCUCCCGACCGAGUUGCCUCGGAAAGUCUAUUCCAGGUCUACAAGAGGUGCACAGGUGGAGAGAUGGAGAUGGCGGGUGUGCACAUGCCCCCCGAGAGGGCCAGCAACAACCACGCCAAGUUCAUUCAAUAAUGAUCCUUCCGCAGGUUCACCUACGGAAA
rnacentral:misc_RNA from 1 species